rfam:Solanum lycopersicum cultivar Heinz 1706 chromosome 7, whole genome shotgun sequence.
GUCCCUUUGGAGACAUUUGGUAAAUUUGUAACACUGCAUAGAAGAUUAACAUGACUCCUAAGGAAUAACAUCAUAAACAAAGAAAAGUUUUAAUUUUUA